UACGUAGGGGGCGAGCGUUGUCCGGAAUCAUUGGGCGUAAAGAGCGUGUAGGCGGACUGGAAGGUCUGCUCUGAAAGCCCGGGGCUCAACCCCGGGAGGCGGGUGGAUACUGCUCAGCUCGAGUCCGGAAGAGGAGUGUGGAAUUCCUGGUGUAGCGGUGAAAUGCGCAGAUAUCAGGAGGAACACCAAUGGCGAAGGCAGCACUCUGGGACGGUACUGACGCUGAGGAGCGAAAGCGUGGGGAGCGAACAGG
rnacentral:rRNA from 1 species